UACGGGGGGUGCAAGCGUUAAUCGGAAUUACUGGGCGUAAAGCGCGCGUAGGUGGUUACGUCAGUCGGAUGUGAAAGCCCCGGGCUUAACCUGGGAAUUGCAUUCGAUACUGCGUGACUAGAGUCUGGUAGAGGGUAGCGGAAUUCCAGGUGUAGCGGUGAAAUGCGUAGAUAUCUGGAGGAACAUCAGUGGCGAAGGCGGCUACCUGGACCAAGACUGACGCUGAGGUGCGAAAGCGUGGGGAGCAAACAGG
rnacentral:rRNA from 1 species